rnacentral:rRNA from 1 species
CGGCACUUGAUGAUGGGUGUGCGGCUGAUUAGAUAGUUGGCGGGUAACGGCCCACCAAGUCUACGAUCAGUAGCUGAUGUGAGAGCAUGAUCAGCCACACGGGCACUGAGACACGGGCCCGACUCCGUACGGGAGGCAGCAGUAAGGAAUAUUGGACAAUGGACGAAAGUCUGAUCCAGCCAUGCCGCGUGAAGGAUUAAGGUCCUCUGGAUUGUAAACUUCUUUUAUAUGGGACGAAAAAAGGGCAUUCUUGUUCACUUGACGGUACCAUAUGAAUAAGCACCGGCUAACUCCGUG